AAUCCUAGAACUAGUGAAUGGUGGUACCAGAUGAUUUCAGAAUGGUAUAAAAAAAGUACAUUUUGAUGGACUCUGGAUUGAUAUGAAUGAACCACUUCAGUUUGGCAAUGGAUCAUUGAUUGGUUGUCCUCAAUCUAAGUACGAUUAUCCACCAUAUACACCAGGCAUAUUUGAGGGCAUAAUAAAAGCUUUCACACUGUGUGCUUCAUCAGAUCAG